AGAGCUGAAGUGUUUUUACUAUUAAGAAAUCUUGUUUAAUUUUGUUUAGUUUUUCCCGUGUUUUUUUUUGUGUCUUUUUGUGCUUUAAUAUAUUAGCAUUUACGAAGGCAGCCAAUAGAAAAUUAAUAGAGUUUGACUAUCAAUCGCUGCUGUAGGCGGGAAAACUGCCUCGGGAAAAUAACUGCAGUUUCAGCAUGUGCUUACUCGAUGCUGCCAUAUUCUGAGUAAACUUGGUGCUUUUCAUACACUUUGUGAUUCUGCGGUCUUUCAGAUGCUUCAUUAUGACUGGAAAUUGGUAAUCUGGAUAUACUGAAGGAGCUCAAUGUGCUGCUGUUUGUCUCUUUGUUGGAAGCACACCAAUGUCCAUCUUGAUGAGUCACAUGCUACAGAAUUCCAUGAUCAUCUAUUGUCAGUUAAAUUUAUAUGGCAGACUUCAACUUAAAGAUGGUUCUGAUUUACAUAAAACCGCUUUCCAUUUUCCUUUUACACCUCUUGAUACAUUAGUAACAAAUGCAGUUUUGCUUUGUUCUAGUGAAGACUUGACCAUGUCAGUACAGUU